ACACACUGGGGAUUUGACCUCUAUCUCCACUCUCAUUAAUAUGGGUGGCCUAUUUGCUCUUAUUAAAAGGAAAGGGGGAGAUGUUGGGAGCCACGCCCACAUUCGCCGUUACAAGAUGGCGCUGACAGCUGUGUUCUAAGUGGUAAACAAAUAAUCUGCGCAUGUGCCGAGGGUGGUUCUUCACUCCAUGUGCUCUGCCUUCCCCGUGACGUCAACUCGGCCGAUGGGCUGCAGCCAAUCAGGGAGUGACACGUCCGAGGCGAAGGAUAAUUCUCCUAAAAAAGGGACGGGGUUUCGUUUUCUCUCUCUCUUGCUUCUUACGCUCUUGCUUCUUGCACUCUGGCUCCUGAAGAUGUAAGCAAUAAAGCUUUGCCGCAGAAGAUUCUGGUCUGUGGUGUUCUUCCUGGCCGGUCGUGAGAACGCGUCUAAUAACAGCCCAACAACUCCAUUGUUCUUGACUUCUUCGGGCUCUAGCCAGACUCUCCAAAGACAGGGGUUGCAUUCCCUUUCCAGUAUGGUCCAUGGAAAACAUGCAGAGGAAAUGGCCCCACAGCAUUGGCUGAGUGUUUAUGUCGUCCAACCGAGUCUCCAUCGAACUGUUGUGGUGUUGCUGACUUGCCCUAGGUCACCUGAGUUAAAAGUAUGGUCCAUGGAAAACAUGCAGAGGAAAUGGCCCCACAGCAUUGGCUGAGUGUUUAUGUCAUCCAACCGAGUCUCCAUCGAACUGUUGUGGUGUUGCUGACUUGCCCUAGGUCACUUGAGUUAAAUGAGAUGCAUUCCUUUUCCUUCAUGGGCCAUGAGUGACAUCCAGAGAAAGUGUCACCACAACACUGGACAAAAGUUGAUGAUAUCUGAAUGAGCUACCAGUAAACCCCCCCCUUUUUUUGCUGUUAUUGCCUUGCCUGAGGAAAAGCGAGUUAAAAGAUGAUACCUACAGUGAUGAGUUGGAGUUAUAGAUGGUGCCAUUUCUUCUACCAGCAGCUUCACCAAAACAAUCUCCAUUAUACAUGCUGAUGCCUCUUUCCUGUGUAGCAGCAGACACCACCUGCAGAUAAGAAAUGCUUAAGCAUAAGAAAUUCAUCAUACUCAUACCAAUCUACACAAGAGUGAGAUCAUGG
rnacentral:lncRNA from 1 species